rnacentral:rRNA from 1 species
UACGUAGGUGGCAAGCGUUAUCCGGAAUUACUGGGCGUAAAGCGCGCGCAGGCGGUCGGGUUCGUCGCUGGUGAAAGCCCCACGCUCAACGUGGGAAGGUCCGGCGAGACAGCCCGACUGGAGGCAGGGAGAGGUCGGUGGAAUUCCGGGUGUAGUGGUGAAAUGCGUAGAGAUCCGGAGGAACACCAGAGGCGAAGGCGGCCGACUGGACCUGACCUGACGCUGAGGCGCGAAGGCGUGGGGAGCGAACGGG